rnacentral:rRNA from 1 species
AACGUAGGUGGCGAGCGUUAUCCGGAUUUACUAGGCGUAAAGCGUGUGCAGGCGGAGAGACAAGUGGUGUAUGAAAUCGCCCGGCUAAACCGGGCAGGGUUAUGCCAGACUGUUUUUCUAGAGUGUGAGAGAGGGAUGUGGAAUUCCGGGUGUAGUGGUGAAAUGCGUAGAGAUCCGGAGGAACCCCAGAGGCGAAGGCGGCAUCCUGGCUCACAACUGACGCUCAGACACGACAGCAUGGGGAGCGAACGGG